UUUCACAGCGUCAUACAACUACGUUUAAUAAGAUUUGCUCAUUAGUACAGAAAAAACUGAGGGUUGGAACUACAAACUCUGAAGUAGUAGUAAGCAUUAGCAGCACUGAGCUCCACGUUUUUCAAAUCACAGUUAUACUGCAAAAAAGUUGAGACAACCAAAGGCCCAAGUCGACAAUCUCAAAAGCCUCAACAAGAUAGAACCAGCAUUCAAGACAGGAAAUAAAAACUGAGAAAAGAAAAGCACAGAUACCUCAGUAAAAAACAAAAACAAAUGUACAAUUCCAAAAUAGUGGGAUGUGAAAAAAGCACAUUACCAGUCUUUUUUUUUCAUCUAUUUUGAGAUCACAACAUGAUGAAACCUACAGUGUUUACCUACCCAUAGAAUGCCCAUGAAGCAGAAGUGAAUAUACAGUUUACUAUCCAGGUCUAGUUACAGGAAAUACAUACGUAUAUCUAUAGAGAGGAAUAUAGAAAAUGUUUGCCAUCAUCCAAAUCAUCAUCUUUUCAUUCAUACAUACACUUUGUUUUAUAGUUCAGGUAUAAAUUGAUUUGUUUAGUGAAAGGAAUGGUCAGGAGAUGAUAAAUAUGUGGUGGUAUGGUGGUGAAUAAUACUGAGCCCUGGGAAACACAACUAUGUGGAGCUGGUUAAAGACAUGAGGGGGGAGGCGUAUUAGCAUCAGCUGUAUAAACUGGUAGAAAAGGCCAGCCAGAAAAAACAUUCUCACAUGAGCACUGGAGCCUUUUGGAUGAAGACGGUAGAGUCAAAAACUCUUCAAGAUUCAGCCUGAAUGAAAGAAAUUGUUUGGUAUUUUGGGAGAACAGUUUUACGGAGAGUUAUGGAGACGAGUAUGUGAAGUAAAUAAACUGCAGCCUGAAGACAGUUAGCUUAGCUUAGCAUAAAACUUAAGUUACAAAAUCUACCAAGCAGCGCCUCUAUAGCUCACUAGUUCUGCUUCCAUGUAAUUGUCGAGCAAAAUUGAAGCAAACUUUUGUAACGGAAAAAAGAAAAAAAAUAGAAUAUGCAAAUAAACUAAGCUGCAUUGACGCUGUUAAAUGCUACAUUACAUAAGGCUAUAAUCAACUGAGUAGACAGGAGCACAAAACUAGCAAAACUUUGGUCAACUACAAGAGCUUUUAAUUGGGAAAUCUGUAAUUAGAAUUUUUUUAAAAAGUCAAACGUAAAAACUACUUGUGCCAAAUCAGCUACUUUGUUUUUCUUAGAAUUUUGUUCUAGGGAAACACAGCUACUGAGUAAAAAUUGCAAAACCACAUAUUUUAAAAUUAGGGAUUGUAUGUAGGACUAGUUCCAGGACAACAGUCCACAAAGCCAAUACUGCUGUCCAACAUAUUAUCCCGAAUAUAUCUCAGCUUGCAGACAUGUCAUUUCUCAACGUGGCAUUUUUUCGUGUGAAUUUUAAAUGAACAAAAUACAUGUAAAUUGCAGAGUUUUAGAGGUGCUGGGGUUGUUAGCUCGAGAAAGAGCUCUGCUAGCUAACUGACUGCACACACCACACCCAAGUUAGCAUAGCCUAACACAAUCACUGGCAGAUGGAGGGAAGUUGGGUUUGCUUUGUCUAAAAAGUUACACCUCUGAAGCUCACAAAUUUACAUGGUAUAUCUAUUUUCUUCAAUAUGGAAAAAAAAAAAAAAACAAGCUGCAGUUUUCCAGAGGGAAUCUGUGGCUUAAAGCAAAAAGAUAAGAGUCUAUAGCUUCAUAGAUAGCAUACAGACAUGGCAGUGCUACCAAACGUCUCAGAUUAUUUCUCAAAAUGUCAAAGUAUUCUUUUACGACAGAAAAUUAGGAGGGAAAAGUAAUAUAUUCACAGACCGAUCAGCCACAACAUUAACACCACUGAUUAUCUUGCCAUAGGGCAAUGUUUUGCAGGGAAGCUUUGGGUCCUGGCACUCAUGUGGAUGUUAGCUUGACGAUACCAUCCACCUUAACGUUAUUCUAGACCAAACACGUCCUCAUGGCACCAUUGUCCUCCCCUAGUAGGCAAAACGGCUCGGGAAUGGCUUGAUGGACAUGACAAAGAGCCAAAAAUGUUUGACACCGCAUCAAACUCUCCACAACUCAAUCCAAUCAAGCAUCAAAAUGAUGCGGUGGAUCAAGUUGGACUCAUGGAGACCACAACCAGCCUCCCACAGGACUCUGAGCUAAUGACCUGGUGCCUGAUGGGUUGAUACUGUUAAGGACCUACACACUAUUAGGCAGGUGGUUUAAAUGUUGUGACUGAUUGGUGUAUGGUGCAGAUACAAACUUUAAAAAACACUUUAGACCAUUGCCUGGUAUUGAUAAUUAAUAUUCUACAGGUCAUACAUCUCAUCUCGACAUUUACAUUCAGAAAUACAAUCACACUGGUGUGCUCUGCAGGGACUGAACCAACUAGAAAGAACAGGUUUCUAUGAGGCUGUUUCUGUAGGAGAAGCUGUUGAAUCGUUCCCAAGUUGAGGAAGUAAGGAUGUGUUAUUGUAGGGUUAGUGGAUAUAGUAGCAUCGAAAUAACAGAAGCAAAAUUGUUAGCAUUGUUGUCCAUCUUUCACAAUUACACCACAACAUACUGCAUGUAUGCUCCAUUCUGCCAUUUUUUAUUUUAUUGCCCAUUCAUUUGUUUACAUUGCGAAUCACUUUAAACAUCACCAACCACCAAUCUGUUUCUUUGUCAGAUUUUUUUUUCUUCGUAGAUCAUUUUCACACUAAUGUAAGCAACAUCAGCGAGUUAACACAUAAAGCUUAGCAAUUCAAGAAACGAGACACUUUAGUAACAAUAUUACAAAGUUUUUUUUCAGCUUCAAAAAAAAUGAAAAAAGUGAACAAAGGAAAAAAAUAAACCUUUAAAGAAUUAGCAUCAUAAAAUUAAUUUAUUCCAAGUAAAAAUACAAAAUAAUAUUAAUGACAUUGACCAGAUAUGAAAGUCUCCCCCAGAAAUAACUAUUAAUGGUUGAGAAAAAAGUCCGUUUAAAGAAAAAUAUGAAAGAAAAACAAAAAUAUGUAAAUAUGUUUAAAUUAUUUUCUUUUUUAGCAAAACUUUCUAAAAAUAAUGAAAAUUUCUCAGUACAAAGGCUACAUUACUACUGGAAGGUACUAGCAGGUAGAGUAGGUAAAUACACAGUAGAAAAUGAUUUUAGUGAAUCACAAUGCUUGCAAUGAAAAUAAUUCUGCAAUAAAGAUUUAUGCCUCUUUUUCUUGUUUUCUUCUUUUCUACAAACAGUACAAACAGUAUUGCACAUUACAACAAAGAAUCAAGGUUUAGCCUUAAAAAAAUGGGACUAAUUCAAGUCUUGCGUGAAUAGAAGGCCACCAGUCAAUUGAUGCACCUUGGGGGCUUUCGGUGAAGUUACAGGUGAAAACACUUGUGUCUGCUUUGUGUUAAAAAUAACAUUCUUUUCUGUACCUCCAGCUGUCCAGUGACUCUCGCUUCAUUUUCCUCCCAACAGCGCCAGGCUAACCAAUCUGGGUCACGUUGCUUUUUUUUUCGCUUUUUUUUUUACAAAACAAAAGGGAGCACAAACUUUUAGGAAACAUAAAAAACUUCUCUUAAAAAAAUAACAAACAGAAGAUCUCUUUCACAACUCUGGUCAGCAUAGUAAAUGAUUGGUUAUAAAUAUACAAAAAGGUGGGAAACAGGUAUAGUUUUUUCUCUCCGAGCACCUGAUGUCCGAUUUCCUUAAAGAGCUCUUCUCUCUGCGAUGUUUCGACUGAUUUGACCAGUGGGACACUCACCCUCGCUUCCACUGUAAUAAAGUAGACUCACUAACUACAUCAUUGUAUUAGUUAUAAAGCUCUAGCUCCUUCAGUUGUCUUUUUCAAAAAAAUAAAUUCUUAAAAUAAGAGCAAAAAAAAAAAGGCAUGAUAAAAAUAAAAAAAUCAACCAUCUGUUAAAUCAUUUCUCUUGAAGAAUUAAAUUAAUAUAUAUAUAUUUUUCAUCUGAAUAAACUUACUUAGAAAAUAUCUGUUUCUCUCCUAAUAUAUUUCAAAAUUGAGGUAUUGCAAAAGAUCUUGUCAGUCAGAAAGCACGCUUUGUCGUCUUUUUUUGUCUUUUAACAAAAAGAACGGCUGACUGUUGAAAACUGUUCAGAUACAAAGAGUAGUGCAUAACAAAUAUCUAUCAUAGAGAAGGAACAAACAUAGAAAACCUGUCCGGGUGGGGAAAGAAAUGUCACAAAAACACCCAGAAUUCACUUUCAUAGGGAUGCUUAUUAUUACUCAUGGUUAGCCUUUUUUUUUCUCUAUCUGUAAAAAAGUAUCUUCUGCUUAAUUUCAAUUAGCUUUUCUCGGACAAGAAAUGAACAUCUAUCCUAAAGCAAAAAAAAAAAGAAAAGAAAAAAAACAGUUUAUGACUAAAACAAGAAAGAGGAGCGGAACUGCGGGGCGCCAGCACGGGACAAUCACAACUCAUGGAAAAAAAAGUGGGGGAAGGGGUGACUUGCAAUGAUGCAGGAUCCCGUUUGGAUUGUCCACAAAACUGCUAAAAACCAGUGUAACUUGGCCCCCUGCCCUCCC
ensembl:lncRNA